GACCACAGUUCCCAAUUUUAGGACACACUGCUUGGAGUCUGGAUGUCUCUGGUUGGCUCUUAAAAUUGUUCAAGAAAAAAAAGAGGCAGGAAUUGCUAGUUGAGCUGGUGGUCAGCAACCUGAGGCAGGCAGAGAGCCAACAGAACAGCAUUAGGCAGCCAGAGGGGCCACUGAAACCCACCAUACCUCACUGUAAGCAGUGGUACUUGGCCUCUGACACGCGACCUAUCAGGCUGUCCUGGAACUCGUUCUGUAGACCAGACUCUGUAGACUAGACUGGCCUUGAACUCAGGGAUCUGUCUUCCUGAGUACUAGAUUAAAGUCCAGCUUCCAGAAAGAGUCAUCGUCAACACAUGUGCCAACUGGAUACUGCUCAGCUUCCCACGGCAGUGAUUACUGAAGGGCCUGUAUCUCCUCUGCAGGACCUGGAGACACCUGAAAGCCAUUGGCUUGGCUUCCCACUUCCCACCAGCAGGUAAUGGCGGGGACCAGCUUCCACCUGCCCAGAGCUCUGAACGGGCAGCAUCAAUGGACUCACCUGGGACAGGAUGACUUAUAUUAAACACAUCACUAUUUUGCAUCUGCACAGGAAGGAAGGUACCUGCCCUGAAAAAUGUUCCGGAAUACCAUGGCAAGGAAAAGGUUUCAAAGGAA